UUUACUCCCUUGAAAGCUAAGCAAAUGUCAGACCCAAGUUGUUCUUUCAGUGAAAUAAAUAUUAACCUACAGUAGCAACACUGUAUUUACCAAAUUUACACUGGCAUUUCAGAGCAGAAUGAAGUUCUCUGUUGAUUUAGAAAUUGUGGAAUGCAACUGAAAAGCCUUUGCUUGAUAUUCACAGCUGCGGCCUCCUUUGUUCAUAUGAUAUUCCUUUGUUCGGAUAUGGUUUCCAACACGGAUACAGCUGCAGCAAUGCAAACCAUAAGGACAGAAGUGCUGCACUGAUGCAAAACAGUCAUUUUAACCUAACUGUCGUGCUGGAGUUUAUACGCUCUAUCAGUAUUGCUCACUGACUCCCCGAUGGAUAGAAGAGAUUUUGUCUGAGAACACAAUUACUUCUUCUGCUACUACGUUCUUCAAAUGAUCAAUAAUUGUGCCUGGAUGGCAAAACAGAUGAAAUUCUGAAGAAAAGAUACUUGCCCUCUUAGUUCUUAACCACAAAACAUUACAUAUAGACUGACUGGAGGUGCUCUCUCCUUGCGCUGUAUUUGAAUGGCUUAGGUCAGAUUUACCCUGCUCUAAAUCCAAUUGAAUAGUUUAUUUGUACACAAUACUUGAAAAAAGCUCUCAAUUUUCAAAAACUGAAGACAUCUUCUAUAAUGAGGUUGUAGAAGAGCUAGAUAGAUGGUUCCAUUCCCCAGGCCUUUUCCCCCAACUUUUACUCAGCUCGCAAUUCUGUUCUAGGGUUAGACUACUUUACUGGUACAUGUACGGCAUGCGCAUAGCCUCCCCCCGCACCUUCUUCCCCAAAAGUCAUAAGCUCUCCUGAACAGAUCAUUCCCUUUCAGACUCCGUAGCUAUUCCACAUGAAGACAUGGAGAUUACUUCAAAUGCAAGUUCACAGCUGUGGAGAAGUUCCAACAUUUGUUUUGAUUAACACGGCCUAUAUUUAUCCAUUGCCUCACCAAAUGUUUGAUGGGCAUUUCAAAGCAUAGAAUAUCUUUCUAUUGCUAGAAAGCAUCACAUCUACUAAGAAGCAUAACUCACCCACGUC